rnacentral:miRNA from 1 species
CAAGUAAUAUGGAUCGGAGGAAGU